rnacentral:rRNA from 1 species
AGCCUUAGGAAGUAGAUUUAAGGUAAGACCUGCCCAAUGUAAUUAAAUGAAUGGCCGCGGUACUUUGACCGUGCUAAGGUAGCGCAAUCGAUUGACUUUUAAUUGGAGUCAGGUAUGAAUGGAGUCACGGGGUUUAACUGUCUCUUAAUUAUUUUAUCAAAAUUACUUUUUAGGUGCAAAAGCCUAAUGGAAAAAGGAGGACGAGAAGACCCUUAGAGUUUUACUAAAAUUAAAUACUAUUUAUUUAUACAGUUUAGUUGGGGCAACUUAGGAGCAAAAGAUAACCUCCUUUUUAAACAAGCCGAUUAUUUUAAGUAUGGAUAAACUACCUUAGGGAUAACAGCAUUAUUUAAUAAGUAAGUUUAUGACCUCGAUGUUGGACUAGGAAGCUGGAAGGUUAGCCGCUUUUCAUAUAGGUUCUGUUCGAACUUUUAUUCCU